rnacentral:rRNA from 1 species
UACGGAGGGUGCAAGCGUUAUCCGGAUUCACUGGGUUUAAAGGGUGCGUAGGCGGGCAUGUAAGUCAGUGGUGAAAUCUCAGAGCUUAACUCUGAAACUGCCAUUGAUACUAUGUGUCUUGAAUUUCCUGGAGGUUAGCGGAAUAUGUCAUGUAGCGGUGAAAUGCUUAGAUAUGACAUAGAACACCGAUUGCGAAGGCAGCUGACUAUAGGUAGAUUGACGCUGAUGCACGAAAGCGUGGGGAUCAAACAGG